rnacentral:rRNA from 1 species
AGUGAACGCUGGCGGUAGGCCUAACACAUGCCAGUCGAACGGCAGCACAGUAAGAGCUUGCUCUUACGGGUGGCGAGUGGCGGAUGGGUGAGGAAUACAUCGGAAUCUACUUUUUCGUGGGGGAUAACGUAGGGAAACUUACGCUAAUACCGCAUACGACCUACGGGUGAAAGCAGGGGAUCUUCGACCUUGCGCGAUUGAAUGAGCCGAUGUCGGAUUAGCUAGUUGGCGGGGUAAAGGCCCACCAAGGCGACGAUCCGUAGCUGGUCUGAGAGGAUGAUCAGCCACACUGGAACUGAGACACGGUCCAGACUCCUACAGGAGGCAGCAGUGGGGAAUAUUGGACGAUGGGCGCAAGCCUGAUCCAGCCAUACCGCGUGGGUGAAGAAGGCCUUCGGGUUGUAAAGCCCUUUUGUUGGGAAAGAAAAGCAGCAGGUUAAUACCCCGCUGUUCUGACGGUACCCAAAGAAUAAGCACCGGCUAACUUCGUG